AUCGUUCCAAGCCGCGGCGCCGCCCCCUCCCCCAACCAUAGCCGCCACACGCAGCAGCCAUGGCGGACUGCACCUUCAGCGUCGGCAGCCGCCGCUCGUCCAUGCUGUGAAGCCAUCCCCGCCCUGCUCGCCUUCGUCCGCCGCCGUCGUGGACCGUCUCCUCCGUCCCCGACAACACAUCCUCGCCCUCGUCUGCCGCCAUCACCGACCGGCUCCUCCGUCCCCGACAAGUCAUCCCGGUCCUGCUCGCUGUCUUCCGCCGAAGAACCCGGCGGCUGUGUCGAUUCUCUGCCUCCCCGAUCACCUCUUCCGAUUUUGCGAAGAAGAUCCCAAUCGGUGAAAACUGAGAACCAUUUUGACUUUUGCUCUCAUUCCCACAGCCACACUCUACAGUUCACAAACACAGACACACCAGGGGAGGUUGCAUUGCCCGGAGGAAAGGCAGAGGAGGGUGAUAUUGAUGAUGCAGCAACAUCAUUAAGGGAGGCAAAGGAGGAGAUUGGGCUUGAUCCAGCCUUGGUCACUGUCGUUUCCUCGCUUGAGCACUUCUUGCCCAAGGUAAGAUGUCUAUGAGUUCUCGCCCACCCCGGCGACCCCUGGCCAGAGGUGGUUGAUUACACCUGAUGGGGAGAAGUCUUGGAAACACGGUCGUGGUGUCCGCAGGCCCAACAUGGUCCUUGGUGUGAUUUGUCGCCAGAGCUUCCCGGGGUGGGUCAUGUUGCCUGGUGAGGGCCAGGUUCCAGAGCUAGGAAUGACCUGGGAGCACUACUUGGUUGCCCCGGCCACGCCGGGGGAGAGGAUCGGCGGUGCCGAGUGCCACACGGUGGCCGACGUUGUGAUCCAGACGUUUUGGACCUUUUACAAGUGUGCUGAGGGACAGGAGGAGGCCGCGGCUCGGGUUAUCGAAGCCGAGUGCAGAUGGCUACUUCAAAACUGGCAGAACAUGGCUCGGACGUAGGCUACUCGAGACUACUUUGCCUCGAUUGGUAUUAGGAUGUCCAAGUUGAAGUGUCGCACAAAGUAUCUGAGUAAGGAGAAGUACAUGAAGGUGCCCUCGAGAUGGUGUGCGGAUAGGCUGGAUUGUUGGGAGGCAUUGGUGGAUGAGUGGUGCUCUCCCCAAUGGCUAUCCACCCACAACAAUGCAAAGGAUCGGCGUGGCAAAAUGAGCGGUGUGCCACACCAUCAAGGCAGCGUCAACCUAUAUCAGUACGGGGAUAACUGGGCGCGGCACAACAAGACGGAUGUGCCAGAGCUGUUCGACCUCUAUGCCAUGGCCCAUAGAGCCCCUUUUAAGAAGGCCAAGGCAUUCUCUGAGUCUGAUCUCGAUAAUCCAAAGAACUUCACCAACCACGCCUCCCACAAUAAGCUCGUGAGGUACAGAGACAAGGGGAAGGCGAGGAAAGGGCCGGAUUUUAACCCGAGCCAGCCUAUUGAUCCAGAGCUGGUGAUGAUAUCUAGUGGCGGGAGGAACCAUGGCUUGUUAGCCAUUGGGGAUGGACUGAUACGUUGUACUAGCACUCUCUCGCAGAUCAAGAGGUGCCAGACGAGCUCCGAUCCUGAGAUAAGGCCUCGUCCACGGCCAAUGGAUCUCGAAAUCAACAUUAGUUAUACAGAAUUAGAUACCUUUCCUCCAUUACAUUAUGUGUGCGGCCGUCGAUGAUUACAAUGCUAAAGAGGAGUGGUGUUGCAGGCUGCUAUUGAGGAACAGAGAACAAAGACCCAGGAGCUUCUGCGGAGGAAAGGAGGCAGGCGGCAGAGAGGGAGAGGGAGACUGAGGAGAGGACGGCUAGGCUUUUGGAGGAGGAGAGGAACUGAAAUGACUUGGCUAACCGGGCUAUAUACGAGCUCUUCGCGUCCAUGUGCGAGAAGAACAGUCAGACCCCUCCGCCAAUGCCAGUCAUUGCUCCGGCGGACACGCAUAACUCCCGACAAGAAUCGACGUCUGCCAUUGGCGCGAGCAAGAACCUCGAUCCUCCUCCGUCCGCAACUACCGCGAGCAAGAACCCCGAUCCUUCACCUACGGGUUGACGAUUUGCUUCAGAUCACGGAAGGUUGGGUUGAUGGAGUGCUUGUCUUUAGUUUUUG